GUGUCAGCCGCCGCGGUAAGACGUAGGGGGCGAGCGUUACCCGGAUUCACUGGGCGUAAAGGGCGUCUAGGCGGUUCGGCAAGUCGUCUGUGAAAGUCCCUGGCUCAACUGGGGGGGGCCGGGCGAUACUGCCGGGCUAGAGGGCAACAGAGGAAGGUGGAACGGCCAGAGUAGCGGUGAAAUGCGUAGAUACUGGCCGGUACCCCGAUGGCGAAGGCAACCUUCUGGGUCGUCCCUGACGCUGAAGCGCGAAAGCGUGGGGAGCAAACCGGAUUAGAUACCCUGGUAGUCCACGCCCUAAACGGUGGGCACUAGGUGUGGAGCUCGUGAGGGUUCCGUGCCGAAGGGAAACCAUUAAGUGCCCCGCCUGGGAAGUACGGCCGCAAGGCUGAAACUCAAAGGAAUUGGCGGGG
rnacentral:rRNA from 1 species